UUGAUGACAGAUUUCGUCCGUCUGUCCUUCGGUCGGUUUGUCGUUUCAUUUUCGUUUCGUUGAAGUCAUUUUUACUCAUUUAUUGUCACCGUUAGUACGUCAGAGAGAGGGCGAGUGUUCUUCAGCACCGCAGGUUGCCUCCUCUUCAUCAUACUACAGCUCUUUUUGACAAACUGCACGCACAGCGGCGACUUUAAAAUUAUGGUUUGUUGCAUUUUAAAUACAAAUUACACAUCAAGACUCUGACUCACCGAGCUCAAAGCAACUCCGUAACUCGGAAGGCAGUGGAACAGGAACAAGUGGGUCAGCUUACAUAAACUGCCUAUUAAUCUCUUCAAAAGAAACAUGCCUUUAAUCUGCUGGAAAAUCUGCUAUUAAAAACGUGCGACAUCACAUAACAUCAUUAAUGAACAAAACUUACAUAAAUCAUAGAGUAACAUACAGUAAAAUUCGCGCAAAACUCACAUCAGAACUUUCAGCACUUGCAGAAAAUAGAAACAACAUCCUAUCCACAUCAAAAUUCUUUAAAAGAAGAUCAUUGAUACUAAAAUAUAUACAUAUUUUUCUCUUCGAGUAUUUAAAUUAUCCCCAAAUUUAAAUGAUAAGCCUAUUCAAUAAAUCAAUAUUUAACUAAAACAGAGUUAUUGACCCCUUGAUAUUUUAAAAAUUAUCUCUAAUACCCUAAUUCAUGGUACACCAUAACAAAAACGAAAUUCAACCACAACUUACUCAAAGACAAACCCAUUAAUAAUUUCUUAUUGAAUUAGCGAAGUGAUUAGUCCCCGUCCGUUUCGAAUUUGGCUCAGUGUACGCCCGUUACUCUACCCCCGAUGACAAAUGUGCCGCUGCCAUGUAAUCGCAUUAAACGUCCGCUGCAGCACCCCCCUUUUUCCCCUUCCUAGUUGCCAGCGCCCCUGGAUUGUGCCCGUUGCAUAUGUUGCGCUCAUUAAAUUGGUAUUUAUAAUGGCCAUGGCUAAAUCGCCGCCCAUUUGCCACGCCCCGCGCUUAGUGUGGGGUAUUACGAGGAGUACGUCUAUGGGUAUUACGUGCAGGCAGUGCAGCGAGCGGUAUGACGACGACCAUGAUGAUGAUGAUGAUGGCAAUCAUCAUAAUUUUUCGGCAGCCGCAGUGGAGAAGCACAAAAAGCGCAAAUCUACGAUGGGUUUGGUAGUGAAGGGGGAUUUUUUGAAAAAGAUAGAAAUUGUUCGACGAGCCUGCAAUUGACAAUCUACAAUCGACAGCGUCUAGGCAAAUUGCGAAAUUAAUUAAAUUUUAGCACAACUUUCGAACGGUACAAAAACUCACUGGCUGUUGCUGUUGUUGCUGUUGCUGCUGUGCGUUGAUUGCCGCUCUGCGGUUGCUGUGGUCGCUGGUCGAAAAAAGGGGUAACAACCGAGGAGCGGUGGAAUCGGAGGACCUGCCCCAGUGGACUGCUGUGGGGGAAAGGAGCUAGGAAAAAGGCAAAAGCCGAUGAAACCCAAGCCAAGCGGCUCCGCGUUUUAACAUUUCUCGUACAUGCAAGUGACAAGGCAAUAUCCGUCACGCAAACAACAGCAGCAGCAGCAACAGCAACAGCAACAGCAGCAGCAACACCCUGACCAGCAGCAACAACAAUGGCAAUCUGGAGCCACGGGGUACUAUGGUAAGAAUCGGUUCCCCUAGAAGAGGUAAUUGUCUCCGAAAAGGGUGAUGACACGAUGCUUUCUAAAACUCAAUGAGUAGAAGUUAUUUCUUGAAAAGAGUUUUCAAGGAGCGGAAAAUAACUUCAAGUGGCGUUACAAUUUAUAUACAUUGUAUACUAAAAUACAUUUUCAUAGAAAUAUGUCAAGGUAUAUCUUUAACAUCUCAAUAAUAACAAAAUGUUUUUUAGUACAUUUUUGACCUUAAUUAGGAACUUAAUGAAGUCUGAUAUAUCUUAUCGAAUAUUUUAAUUUUGUCAUUAUACUCCUAUCAAACUAUUUUACUAUCAAACAAAUGCGUUUAUAAAAGCACUUUUGCCCCUGUUUCUUUUGGUUUUUGUCCAGCUCUUCUCUUUAAAAAUAACACAAAAAAUGGAUUCAUCUUGAUCGAUCGAAAAUAAACAUAUAAAUGGCACUGCUAUUAACAUAUAAAUAAGACCGACAUAUUUGUAAAUUAAAACAAAGUCUUGGCCCUUAAUAUUAAGCAUAAUAUAUGCGUACCAUAAAAAUACAGCACAUUAAUCUGGUAAUAGUAUUUCCUUUGCUGAAAUUACCAUCUCAGUUAUCUUGAAAUCUGUUGCUGAGUAAUAAAACCACCCAUAUCUCAUCCUGAAAUUAUUCAACAGUACACAGAUCAAAUCGACACAUAAUCAACAACUUGCUGUGGACAUAAAGAUUGCCUCAUAAUCGAACCUAAUAUGUGGGAUAGCGAUUACCCGAAAUGACAGGCGAUAAGUAAUUUCCACCAUCUGGGAUCUGGACAGUGUGUUUGCCUGCUGGCCAGUUAGUUACAUAUGUAAAUGCGAUGCGAAUGGCGAACGGCGAUCAGGCCCCGAAAAUGAUUGGCCAUUAAAUCGGCAAUCGUUACCACUGUACCACUGGGGUAUUUUCUAUGGGGCUCGGUGGUCUGUCCAAUGGGUCCUGUUGUUGUCCACGGAUUGGACGACGGCUCUACGGCUCUGUGGCUUUGGCAAAAAAUUAUUAUUCAUCGCUUGUACAACGACGACGUCGCAGUCGCAGUCGCAGUCGCAGUCGACGCACGAGUUAAUUACGGUCCAUUAGACUGCACAAGGGGUGUUUAUUACCACAUCAGUGGGCGCCGCCGCCAACGCCAUCAGCCAUCAUCAUAAGGCCAGGGAACAGGAAUGGGAUUGGGAGCAGGAAUAGGAGCAGGAGCAGGAGCAGGAGCAGGAACAGGACAUCGGAGCGAGCGGUAUGCCGGCAAACUAGAAAUUGUUGAGCGCUUCAAAUCGCUGGACAUGAAAUCAGUUAGAAAAUCUGCUUUGACAUGGAAAUUCCACUGGUGCACACUCCUCCACUCUGUCGUAGGAAUCAACUGACAGGCCAUGUCCUGCUGGUUAGCUGAUCCUUGCACAGGGAGAACAAAAAUGAUGAGAAAUAUGAAAUAUCUCUACUUUUGGUAAUGGCAAUUAUAAUAUUUUCAUUACCCUAAAAUAUUAUUUCUCUAUAAACAAAUUGUUGGUUGUCAAAUAGUAACUAUGUCAAAACAAAUAGGGUCUGUCCAUAUACAAAGUAAUUACAUGUGGUAGGGGGUGGUCAGCCAAAUAAUUACUCCAGUGAACUUUUUUGUUCGUAAAAUUGAUUACGUGGGGGGGGAUUUGGGUCAAAAGCCCGCAAAACUAUGAUUAUGUAAUUUUCCAUAGAGGACUGACAAAUUUAUUCUAGCAAAAAAAAAACAUAUUAGUAGUUUGAUAUUUCUUCUAAGUAGAAUCCAUUAUCAUGAGUACCAAUUUAGUUGUGAAAUCUAAUGCAUUCAUUGUAAUGUUAUUAUGA